GUGUCAGCAGCCGCGGUAAUACGGAGGUGGCGAGCGUUGUUCGGAAUUACUGGGCGUAAAGGGCGCGUAGGCGGGGGGAGAAGUCGGGUGUGAAAGCCCUCGGCUCAACCGAGGAACGGCGCUCGAGACUCUUCCUCUUGAGUCCCGGAGAGGACGAUGGAAUUCCCGGUGUAGCGGUGAAAUGUGUAGAGAUCGGGAGGAACACCGGUGGCGAAGGCGGUCGUCUGGACGGAGACUGACGCUGAGGCGCGAAAGCGUGGGGAGCAAACGGGAUUAGAAACCCUCGUAGUCC
rnacentral:rRNA from 1 species